UACAGAGGGUGCAAACGUUGUUCGGAAUUACUGGGCGUAAAGCGCGUGUAGGCUGCUCGGAAAGUCGGAUGUGAAAGCCCUGGGCUUAACCUAGGAAGUGCAUUCGAAACUUCCGAGCUGGAGUUCUGGAGAGGAAGGCGGAAUUCUCGGUGUAGAGGUGAAAUUCGUAGAUAUCGAGAGGAACACCAGUGGCGAAGGCGGUUGCCUGGAGCUUUGCUGACGCUGAGGCGCGAAGGCGUGGGGAGCGAUCCGG
rnacentral:rRNA from 1 species